AUUGAACGCUGGCGGCAGGCCUAACACAUGCAAGUCGAGCGGUAGCACAGAGAGCUUGCUCUCGGGUGACGAGCGGCGGACGGGUGAGUAAUGUCCGGGAAACUGCCUGAUGGAGGGGGAUAACUACUGGAAACGGUAGCUAAUACCGCAUAACGUCGCAAGACCAAAGUGGGGGACCUUCGGGCCUCAUGCCAUCAGAUGUGCCCAGAUGGGAUUAGCUAGUAGGUGGGGUAACGGCUCACCUAGGCGACGAUCCCUAGCUGGUCUGAGAGGAUGACCAGCCACACUGGAACUGAGACACGGUCCAGACUCCUACGGGAGGCAGCAGUGGGGAAUAUUGCACAAUGGGCGCAAGCCUGAUGCAGCCAUGCCGCGUGUAUGAAGAAGGCCUUCGGGUUGUAAAGUACUUUCAGCGGGGAGGAAGGUGCUGAGGUUAAUAACCUCAGCAAUUGACGUUACCCGCAGAAGAAGCACCGGCUAACUCCGUGCCAGCCGCCGCGGUAA
rnacentral:rRNA from 1 species